CUUAAAAUAGACGCAGAUCGGUUAUGAAUUGGUAUUGUUAAAAUUGUACGGAGAUACACAGCUUUAGAACCAUCUGAAAUAUAUACGAUAUAAUAUUCUACCCGUUGAGUUCGUAAGACCAACAACUUGUCAAAAUUAGAGAUCCGACAAUUCUACAAUUUUUGCGAAACAAGAUGCUAAGAAGAAGAUCAAUAUUUUUGUCCCUGACUAUAGCUGUUCUACUCUUUGCCAGCAUAAUUCCAAACAUUAGUGGAAAGCCUCUUGAAGACAGUAUGCAAGAAAGAGGAGAUCAAGUUUAUCAUAAUCAGGAUGGCAACGUUGUGAUUGUAACAUCCUGUGAAAACUGCUCCGAAACUAGACAAAAACUUGUAAAUAAGUAUGUAAACGUGUCAGAUAGGUCUUCAGAAAAUGGCGGUUCAUCGCAAAGGGAUAGCGGCAUGGCUGCAACAACUGAUGUAUCAGAAUCAGAGGAAGGCACUGCAUGAACAUGUGUAUAGUUUUGUUUCAAGCUUGAAGGUUGUUGCAAAAUUACAAAUUUCUGAGAGCUCAGAGAUAACACUUUGCUAUGAACGUGAUUUUUGUAGAAAUCUAGUACCACAGCACAAGAAUUAAAUAAAAAUAUUAAAUU